GUGAGGAAUAUUGGACAAUGGGCGCAAGCCUGAUCCAGCCAUGCCGCGUGCAGGAAGACGCAUCUAUGGUGUGUAAACUGCUUUUGUACGGGAAGAAACACUCCCUCGUGAGGGAGCUUGACGGUACCGUAAGAAUAAGGAUCGGCUAACUCCGUGCCAGCAGCCGCGGUAAUACGGAGGAUCCAAGCGUUAUCCGGUAUCAUUGGGUUUAAAGGGUCCGUAGGCGGUUUCAUAAGUCCGUGGUGAAAGCCCAUCGCUCAACGAUGGAACGGCCAUUGAUACUGGUAGACUUGAAUUACAAGGAAGUAACUAGAAUAUGUAGUGUAGCGGUGAAAUGCUUAGAUAUUACAUAGAAUACCAAUUGCGAAGGCAGGUUACUACUUGUGGAUUGACGCUGAUGGACGAAAGCGUGGGGAGCGAACAGGAUUAGAAACCCCGGUAGUCC
rnacentral:rRNA from 1 species